AUUGAACGCUGGCGGCAGGCCUAACACAUGCAAGUCGAACGAGUGGCGCACGGGUGAGUAAUGUCUGUGAAACUGCCCGAUGUAGGGGGAUAACUACUGGAAACGGUAGCUAAGACCGCCUACCAUCGGAUGUGCCCAGCUGGGCUUAGUUUGUAGGUGAGGUAACGGCUCACCUAGGCGACGAUCCCUACCUGGUCUGAGAGGAUGACCAGCCACACUGGAACUGAGACACGGUCCAGACUCCUACGGGAGAGAGAAGGGGGGAAUAUUGCACAAUGGGCGCAAGCAUGAUGCAGCCAUGCCGCGUGUAUGAAGCAGGCGUUCGGGUUGUAAAGUACUUUCAGCGGGGAGGCGUUACUCGAAGAAGAAGCACCGGCUAACUCCGUGCCAGCAGCCGCGGUAAUAC
rnacentral:rRNA from 1 species